UGGCGGCGUGCCUAACACAUGCAAGUCGAGCGAGAAAGUCCCUUCGGGAUGAGUACAGCGGCGGACGGUUGAGUAACACGUGAGAAUCAACCCUAUAGUGAAGAAUACCCUCGAGAAAUCGAGGUUAAUACUGCAUACGUCCCUUCGGGGAGAAAGAUGGCCUCUUUGCUGUCGCUAUAGGACGAGCUUGCGGACUAUCAGCUAGUUGGUGAGGUAAUGGCUCACCAAGGCAAUGACGGUUAGCCGGCCUGAGAGGGUGUACGGCCAGACUGGAACUUAGACACGGUCCAGACUCCUACGGGAGGCAGCAGUGGGGAAUAUUGCGCAAUGGGCGAAAGCCUGACGCAGCGACGCCGCGUGGAGGAUGAAGGUCUUCGGAUUGUAAACUUCUGUUAAGUGGGAAAAAAGCUCUAUUUCUAAUACAGAUAGAGGAUGAUUGUACCAUUAGAGAAAGCACCAGCUAACUACGUG
rnacentral:rRNA from 1 species